CUAAAGCCUGCUAGUGACUGAGCUGGAUUAGUCAUCAUUCUCCUGACAUUUCAAGGUUCCCUUUUACCAGAAUGAAAUGCUCAUGACAUAUCCAGGUUGAAAAGCGAAAACACCUUACGAUCUGUUGUUCAGGGUUAGAGGCUAAGCAAAAAAAAUUGAGUUGCAAAAAUGCAUGAUUGAAGAAUACAUUCAGAGGGACUUUUCAGCCUUUCCUCUCUUCCUCAUCUAAGGGAGGGCAGCAUUACUAAUUGGGAAUGACUCCCCAACAGCCAAUCAGGAGGCUUUUGUCUGGAAAAUGUUAUCAGGGUGAAAGUACAACUCAAGGCCCAUGAUUUCACCAAUAUAGGGAACUCCCAGCAUGAAAUUCCCUCCACUGAUGGCUUUUCCAUGCUCACACAACUAGUGUGUUACAAAGGUCCUGUGUGGUUUUUUUCCCCAAGAUCCUGAGGUGCCAGCAGCCAACUCAGAUAACUCAAGCUUCCUUUCAUCAGAGCAGCUGUACAAAGCUAGGCAACUUCAGCGCCAAAGUUCAGUUACUCUGGGUCUAUAUCUGAGUAUCCCUGAGGACAUUGUGUUGGUAGGGAGUGGGAGGUGGAGAAGAGUGGAAACAAAGUGAAGAGAGAAUUAAAACUUGGAGUGAGGAUAUGAAGGACUCCAGAAGGGCAGGGAAGAGCGCACCGGAGUGGGCCAGGAGAGCUUCAUGUGCACAUACCCCAAUGCAGGUCUUCAGUGAGAUCUAGCAGGCUCAGCCCAACUCCAUACAAACUGGGACUCCUCCAAUUUGAUCUCCCCUGCAUAUAUACCACAUUAAAUAAUCCCUGUCCUGUGUCUAGAACCUCUUGGAAAGAAUUCACUGUCAGUGUCACUUUUGUUAAU